rnacentral:rRNA from 1 species
GCUUUAUAAUGACAGGACGGGAUAAAUUUUUGCCAGAAGAAAUAGUAAUAGAGCGGGGGCUGCGCUCUUAUAACUAGGGGGAAAGAAGGGGGCGUCGGUGGUAAACGCAUUCUUCGAAAAGGGUGCUUCUCCAAGGAAUUUAAGUGCAAGUUCCCAGUAUUUUCCACCAAGAAAGUGGAAAACCGGCCAGUCAACAGAGCUUGGUAGAUGUGGAUAACAACACUCAAUCGUAAGGGAGGCUGCGGAUUGAGUCACGGUCGUGGAUGCGAGAGUGAAGGGGGCACAUCAUUCAAGAUCAGACUAGUCCGCACCCCCUACAAUGACAGAUUUACAUUUGGGAUGUACACUUCCGUUAUGUGUAAGAGAUCGCGUGAUAAGUGCCUCCUGGGGAAGCGGUCGCAAGAUUAAAACUCAAAGGAAUUGACGGGAC